CCCAGGUACCAACAAUACACAACUGAGUUAAAUAGCUCAUGACCUUUGCCCAGGUUCCAGGUGGACUCAUUUUUAUUAUUAUUAUUAUUUGGUGUUGGAGAUUGAACACAAGACACUUUACCACUGAUUCACAUCCCUAGCCCUUUGCUUUUCAUUUUGAGACAGGCUCUCACCAUGUUGCUUAAGGCCUUGUUCAGCUGUUGAUGUUGGCCUCAAACUUAGGAUCCUCCUGCCUCAGCCUCUGGUGUUGUUGGGUCUCCAGUGGGCUUCGUGUUUAAUUUAGCACAGACCUAACAAGCCGAAUAGUAAUUUGCUAUGUGAGCCUUAAAAAUCAAGAAACGCUAGGACAAUCCCUCCUGGAACGCACUGUAGCAAUCUAGGUGUGCAAUGGAAAGGGGACAUGAUGGUCAAAGACAAAGCUGAAAACCAUUGUGCUCGCUUCGGCAGCACAUAUACUAAAAGCUGAAAACCAUAGUUGAAAGAGUUCAGUUUUUAGCAAGAAAAUGAAAAGGAGCAGAAAGCGGCAGGAGAGACCGACAAGUAAACCCGACCCAGAGAAGAAAAAUCUUUGGGAGAAACAAAGAUAUUUGAACAAAAACCAGAGAAGAGAGAACUUAGGGACUUUAAAGCCAGUAUUUAGGUUACCCAGAGAGAAAAAUACUAAACUGAAAAUACCACUGAAGAGAAAAAUAUCAAACUAGGAACACGUGAAAACACCUCAGAGAAGGCAGCUCGAACGCACGAUCUAACACCUGAGAGAAACGCAACCAAAUAGAAAAAAAAAAAAAAGAAACUGGCAAGAAUCACAUAGCCAGUUUGAUUCUCGAGUCUAACAUUAAAACCAGACGUUAAGAC
rnacentral:lncRNA from 1 species